ACAAAUUUGUAAAACUUAAAAAUUUCAGCCAUUUAACAUGAUAUUCGUACUUGUGUAAUGGUUAACCGUCCUGGAGUAAAAUAUGACAUUUGUUAAUUUAUACUCAAAAACUAAAAAUAUCGGCUGACUUAUAUUUUCUUUAAAGUGGAAUUAUAUGUUAUUUUUCGCUGUGGAAAUAUAAUGAAAUGAAGUGGAUUAACAUAACGUUGUUGUCACUAGCGGUGGUUGAGUGUAUUUCUGGAGGAAAAUACUUCGUUUUUGGUGAAUGGAAUCAAACGUGUCUUAUCGACUGCAUUUGUUGUGUUGACAGGAUUUGUGGACAAGGACAACAUUUACCUAACGAAUGCCUCAAAGGAUGCAUAGAUGGCCACAGAGGCGCUCGAUGCUACGAAAAGUGCACAUAUGAUUGCAAGUCUUGCACAGAUCAUAUAGAUGUUUGUGAAACGUGUUAUGAUGGAUUUUACCUAGGACCGAGAAAGGACUGUACACCCAAAUGUCAUCCUAACUGUAAAACAUGUUCUUCGAAUUUACAUUGUGAUACUUGUAAGGAAGGAUUCUACAACAAAAACGGAUCUUCUACCUGUGAAUACUCCAUUUGUCCUACAAAUUGUAAAUGUGACGAUACCGACUGUGUUGCUUGCAAGAAUGGAUAUUAUGACAUAGAAAAUUCCUGCAACAAAACAUGUCCACUACAUUGUUUGGCUUGCUCAACUUUUGAACAGUGUAGUCAAUGUCAAAAUGGAUUUUAUAAUGGUUACGGAUCUCAUAGUGACAUCGACCGUCUAUUAAAUGACUGUACAUAUAAAUGCAGAGAUGCAUGCAUAACUUGUUCCUCAUACGAUAAUUGCGUGACAUGUGCAGCUGGAAAGUAUGGACUACAAUGUCAGGAAAACUGUUCAGUUGGCUGCAAAUAUAAUACCUGUUUGAUAGAAACGGGCAAAUGCAAUUGUACUUCUAACUUCUCUGGUGAAAGGUGUACAGAGUGUGUAACAGGAAAAUAUGGAAACUUGUGUGAACAAGUUUGCCCUAAUAACUGUAAGAAUAGAAUCUGCUACAUGUCUUCAGGUAAUUGCAUUGAAGGGUGUAAACAGGACACUUUGUCAGGUGCAAAAUGCGACAGAUGUGUUGUCGGAAGGUAUGGAACACUUUGUGAGAAUUUCUGUUCGGAAAACUGUAAAAAUAGAAACUGCGAUAAAGAAACUGGAAACUGUUCCAAUGGAUGUGAAAGUCAUUUUAAUGGCAAACAAUGUGACAAGUGUAUCAACGGUAGAUAUGGAGAUAAAUGUCAACACGUCUGUCCAAAUACCUGUACAGAUAACAUGUGUGAAAUGCAGUCAGGCAAUUGUUACAAAUGUACUGGCAACUUUGACGGAAAUAAGUGUGAUACUUGUAAACCUGGGUUAUACGGCUUAAAGUGUGAUCAAAAUUGUUCCUUUAAUUGCUUACAUAAUACUUGCAACAAAAUUACAGGAAUAUGUACCAAUGGAUGCAAAAAUUACUAUUCGGGGGACAAAUGUUGCGUACAAAACAACAGUUGUAUGCAAUGCAUAUCGAACACUGAAUGUCAAAAAUGCAAAUCAGGUUAUUUCAACUCUUCUUGCGACGAAAAAUGUCCAAUACACUGCUUAGAUACCUGUGACAUCUUAACCGGCGUUUGCAGAGACUGCAUUAUAAAUCGUUUUGGUUACAACUGCAACUUCACCUGCUCUAAAAAUUGCAAAGCUUCAUACAGCAGCGAAAUAAGACAGUGCUCUUCAUUCGACGGAACUUGUGUGUUUGGUUGUGAAGAUGGUUACUUCGGGCUUUUAUGCAACGAGACAUGUAGCCGACUUUGUAUUGAUGGUGUGUGCAUUAGAGAAAGUGGAACAUGUGUUGAGGGAUGUAUAGGUUCAUACAACGAUCCCGUGUGUGCCCACGGAUCAGGGAAACCACAUGACGCAUCAGCCAAUACUUCGACAGUAGCUGUAAUUGCUGUUCUUGCAACACUUGGUUGUAGCUUCUACUGCGUUAUGCAUUUUAAUGUUGAAGAAAGUCGUAAAGAAAAUACGUUCUACUGACAGGCAACCCGAGCAGUCUAUGGUCCAAAUGACACACACAAUGAAUACAAUACUGCUGUUUCCGAUGAGGAAAACGUUACUUAUGAAGCUCUCGAUAAAAACCAAGACCCUGAACAUGCGUAUGAUACACCAAACCCCAAAGAACUAAACCGUGCGGUCAAUGCUAGAAACGUAGAAUAUGAGAACGUGCAAGUCUAAACAACUGGACAUUCUAAUGUACCUUUGUGACUAUUUUAAACACUAAGGGAUAUCUGGCUAAUAAAAUCGUCUUUGUAUAUUCUACUUGUUAUUUAAGCACAUACUUUCUUUUGAGUGUUUUAUAUUUUAAUGUUGCUAAUUCUUAUUACAUUGACAUGAAUAACUUUUUUUCAACGCUUCCACUUUGCUGUCAGUGAUGUAUAUAUUCAUUGCCUGUACAUACAGUUAAUAACAGUUACUGUACGUUAAACUUUACUGGGAUUAGGAUGUUAUCAUGAUGAGAAAUCGUCCACGUUUAAAACAGCAUCGACUUGAUUGGAAAGAUAUGCAGUCCAAUUGAUUAAUGAAACUCGAUUCGUCUCAUUCGCAUUAUUUUCGUCUGAAAUAAAGUUAAGAUUGUGCGAAACUUCUUGAUAACAAUAUUUGUUUUAGUGAAGACGUUUUUAUUGUAUGAUGGAAAACAGUAAUAAUGGCACAAAAGGUACAGUUUCUGAACAAAUAACUAGUUGGUAAGCACGAUUGAUAUCUUAGUAUAUGAUUAUAUAGAUUUAUAUAAAUUAAUUUAAAAUUACUAACGCUACAAACUCCAUUGAUUUCUAAUACUUCUGGGUACCGCUUUCAUUACUUAUACACAUAGCCCGUAUAACAAUUCACAAUUUCAAGUAUGACGUAACUUUAUAGUUUUAGACCUUUGUUUAGCCAAACAUCAAUAAGCGAGCUUCUAACCUUGUUAUUUUCUAAAAAAAAUAAGUACUGUAUGCAUAAUCAUAUUUAACUAACUGCAAAAGUAAUUGUGUAAAUUGAUUAAAGUUUGUGGUUUGAAAUCUAUUGACUACCGGUACUUAUUCAAAACAAGAAACUUUUACAUGUUUUAAAGCAUUUUGUGUAGGUUUUAUUCACUUUGAAAUUUACUAGAUAUGAGGUAAUGUAAGGUAUACUUGUGAUCCAAACUGAACAGAGUUUAUUAUUACCUUUGAUAUACAUUUGACAGAAGUCAAAAAGACUGUAUUACAUAGACUGACUAGGUAUACAACCAAAAUCAGUUAGAACCUUUUUGUCGUUGUAAAAAGUUGUAAAUAUAUAUAUUCUUUGUUUCAUGUUAUUUGUCAAAACUCUACCAGUAACAGUUGUAUCACAAGUUAUGGCACAAUAGUGCAUUCAAGUUUGAAGUUUAUAUUUAGAGAUCUCCUUUAAUUUAUUGACUAGCAUAUUAUCUUCUUGUGGUUAUAUUGUAAAAUGCGGUAAGGGUAUAUUAAGGUAAAUGUAUUUCAAUAAUCUUAUUGUAUAAUUUUGUCUUUUACUUGUUUAUGAAUGAUUUAUACAUUGUGAUGAUGUAACCUGGAGCGAUUACACAUGUGCGUUUGCUUGCUCUCAGAACUCGCACACAAACGCAUAUGCUCACACAUAUAUCCACACUUGUAAAAACAUACUCUCAUAAAUAGCCAAAAUACAUGCAUUUAUAUACAUACAUUCACUCACUCCAACAUACGAUCAUCACAUCGCAAUGCACUCCAAUUCUGGUAUAAAAGUUUUUUCUUCAGCAAACUUUCAACAAACAGCUUUCAGUUACAUUUAAAAUGCAUUUCAGUGUUUCCUAAAAUAUUCUCAAAAUAUACUAAAAGAAAUAUUUGUUAAACUUGGAAUAGUAUUAUUUUGACAUAUUAUGUUUUAGAGUUUGAUAAAGAAUCUGUAAGUUCUAUAUAUAAAGACACUAUAUGCUAUAGUGUAGUUAAUGAUUUUAUGCUUGUAUAUAUUGUAAAUAUAUGAAUUAAUCAAUU
rnacentral:misc_RNA from 1 species